UUUCAACAAUGUGGAUUCAUUUCCCCGCCGAUCUUUUUCUGCUAUGCAGUUCUGCCGUUGAGCGUGUCCCCACAACACCGAAGUCACUCAUGAAGUCUAGAUUUGCGUCCUUAGUGUGCAUUGCUACUGUUUUGCACUUGUACCAUACCUCUGAGAAUGUUGCUGAUGGACACACCCAGGACAAUGUUACCAUGGAUACCUUCUCCUCAAUGCGCACAUCCAAGAUAUUACAAUCAGAAAACAUUUUAGCAAAUAGAAGACCUUCAUUUCAUCCUCUGCUCCGCUUCCGUUACAUGUUUAUUUCUUUGCCUAAUGAGACGGCGAGCAAGGUUCAGAAAGUAUUCCAAAUGUUGGCGAAACCCACCUGCUUGGCGUUCCUACCCUCGGAAACCAGGGAUAUUAGCCUAAAAUUUAGCAGUGGACCGUGCGUUGCAGAUGAUGGUGACACCAGGUAUUGGGUCGGCUCAGUCGUUCUAAACACCGGCUGCGAUUCGGUAAGGCCCAAAAAAUCGUUUCUUUUAGUAUUAAGGCCGAAACUUGCAGUUAUU